rnacentral:rRNA from 1 species
ACGAACGCUGGCGGCGUGCCUAAUACAUGCAAGUCGAACGCUUCUUUUUCCAUCGGAGCUUGCUCCACCGGAAAAAGAGGAGUGGCGAACGGGUGAGUAACACGUGGGUAACCUGCCCAUCAGAAGGGGAUAACACUUGGAAACAGGUGCUAAUACCGUAUAACAAUCGAAACCGCAUGGUUUUGAUUUGAAAGGCGCUUUCGGGUGUCGCUGAUGGAUGGACCCGCGGUGCAUUAGCUAGUUGGUGAGGUAACGGCUCACCAAGGCGACGAUGCAUAGCCGACCUGAGAGGGUGAUCGGCCACAUUGGGACUGAGACACGGCCCAAACUCCUACGGGAGGCAGCAGUAGGGAAUCUUCGGCAAUGGACGAAAGUCUGACCGAGCAACGCCGCGUGAGUGAAGAAGGUUUUCGGAUCGUAAAACUCUGUUGUUAGAGAAGAACAAGGAUGAGAGUAACUGUUCAUCCCUUGACGGUAUCUAACCAGAAAGCCACGGCUAACUACGUGCCAGCAGCCGCGGUAAUACGUAGGUGGCAAGCGUUGUCCGGAUUUAUUGGGCGUAAAGCGAGCGCAGGCGGUUUCUUAAGUCUGAUGUGAAAGCCCCCGGCUCAACCGGGGAGGGUCAUUGGAAACUGGGAGACUUGAGUGCAGAAGAGGAGAGUGGAAUUCCAUGUGUAGCGGUGAAAUGCGUAGAUAUAUGGAGGAACACCAGUGGCGAAGGCGGCUCUCUGGUCUGUAACUGACGCUGAGGCUCGAAAGCGUGGGGAGCAAACAGGAUUAGAUACCCUGGUAGUCCACGCCGUAAACGAUGAGUGCUAAGUGUUGGAGGGUUUCCGCCCUUCAGUGCUGCAGCUAACGCAUUAAGCACUCCGCCUGGGGAGUACGACCGCAAGGUUGAAACUCAAAGGAAUUGACGGGGGCCCGCACAAGCGGUGGAGCAUGUGGUUUAAUUCGAAGCAACGCGAAGAACCUUACCAGGUCUUGACAUCCGAUGCAUAGCACAGAGAUGUGUGAAAUCCUUCGGGACAUCGAGACAGGUGGUGCAUGGUUGUCGUCAGCUCGUGUCGUGAGAUGUUGGGUUAAGUCCCGCAACGAGCGCAACCCUUAUUGUUAGUUGCCAUCAUUUAGUUGGGCACUCUAGCAAGACUGCCGGUGACAAACCGGAGGAAGGUGGGGAUGACGUCAAAUCAUCAUGCCCCUUAUGACCUGGGCUACACACGUGCUACAAUGGGAAGUACAACGAGUCGCAAAGUCGCGAGGCUAAGCUAAUCUCUUAAAGCUUCUCUCAGUUCGGAUUGUAGGCUGCAACUCGCCUACAUGAAGCCGGAAUCGCUAGUAAUCGCGGAUCAGCACGCCGCGGUGAAUACGUUCCCGGGCCUUGUACACACCGCCCGUCACACCACGAGAGUUUGUAACACCCGAAGUCGGUGAGGUAACCUUUUGGAGCCAGCCGCCUAAGGUGGGAUAGAUGAUUGGGGUG